UCGGAUGUGGUGCAUGGUGCAUGCCCGCUAUCUCUGUUCCAGAAUUGGGCCAUGAUGCGGGAGGCCUGGGUUCGACUCCCAGCAUCCGAA